rnacentral:rRNA from 1 species
UACGUAGGGGGCAAGCGUUGUCCGGAAUUAUUGGGCGUAAAGAGCGUGUAGGCGGUCCGGUAAGUCAGCUGUGAAAGUCAAGGGCUCAACCCUUGAAAGCCGGUUGAUACUGUCGGGCUAGAGUCCGGAAGAGGCGAGUGGAAUUCCCGGUGUAGCGGUGAAAUGCGCAGAUAUCGGGAGGAACACCGGUAGCGAAGGCGGCUCGCUGGGCCACACCUGACGCUGAGACGCGAAAGCUAGGGGAGCGAACAGG